UGUGAAGUGGCAUGGGAUGGAGUUGAUGUUUAUCAUAGCCACCAACUGUUGGCACAGGAAAGAGGGUCUUGCCAUGUAGCCUGAACUUGGGAACAUUCCUGGCUGAGCCCUUUUCAAUAGUAAGCACAGCAAAAGAGAACUAGAAGCUAAUUCCUUAUCUUCCUCUUUUCACCCCAAAAUGUAGUGGGCAUUUCCCUUCUAGUCUUGUCCUCUACAUGAGCCAGCUCCUGUGAGAACUUUAGCCUUGCAGAUGGGGUUCAGAUGGGCUCUUCACCAAGACAGGCACCUGCUGCCAUUUCUCCUCGGUGAGAUUCACAGAUUUAUACAGGAGAAAGAUGGGUCAUCACCGCAUGAACAAAUGCCCCUAUCCUGCAUAUCACUGUCUUCCCGUUAUCUUCAGCAUGAAAUCCCAACUUCUUAAAGGUCAUGGACACAAGAUGUCAGCUCUGCCCAUCUCUUUCUACUUCUUCUCCCCAACUCUAUGCAUCCUCUCAUUUACUUUCUUCGAUCUCACUGGCCUUUCUAAGCCCUUGGACCUUUUCAUCUGAUGAAGAUCAAAUGGUCAUAAAGGCCUUCAACAGAGUUGCAGAGAUGUAACCAGGCAGCCGAGGGAGUACCGGCCAUCAAUUCUGAUAAGUAUAUUGACUGGUGUCUGGUCACCUACAGAGAUACUUCUGUCCCCAAGAGUUUGGGACAUAAACUUACCAGGAAUCCACUGUGAUGACCCACAAAUUUACUCAUGAGAUUUAAAUCUGAUCAUGUCAUCACUUGGUGUAAUGAAACACUAUAAAAAACAUAAUUAAAUAUGAGUAGGAGCCAGGCCAUUUCCUUAGCCCUCAGGAUGAAUACUUUGUGAAGACAUUCUAAAUGUCAGUGACUAAAAACUUAACUAGCAGUGGAAGAAAAAUCAUUUGGAAAAAAAUGAUAAAACUGUAAACGUCAGAGAUUAAAGAAGUCUCUUUCCCAAGUAUGGAAGGAACAGCAUCAGAGAGCCCACGGGGAACCUGAAUCUAGCUCUAUAACUAAUUUACCAUGCAGCCUGUGGCUACUAAAUAACGCCAAGACUAUUGCAUAGUCUUCCUCCAAUAAAGUGCAAGUCA
rnacentral:lncRNA from 1 species